GUGAACGCUGGCGGGAGGCCUAACACAUGCAAGUCGAACGGCAGCACAGUAAGAGCUUGCUCUUACGGGUGGAGAGUGGCGGACGGGUGAGGAAUACAUCGGAAUCUACUUUUUCGUGGGGGCUAACGUAGGGAAACUUACGCUAAUACCGCAUACGACCUACGGGUGAAAGCAGUGGAUCUUCGGACCUUGCGCGAUUGAAUGAGCCGAUGUCGGAUUAGCUAGUUGGCGGGGUAAAGGCCCACCAAGGCGACGAUCCGUAGCUGGACUGAGAGGAUGAACAGCCACACUUGAUCUGUAUGACGGUCAAGACUCCUAGGGUAGGCAGCAGUGGGGAAUAUUGGACAAGGGGAGCAAGCCUGAUCCAGCCAUACCGCGUGGGUGAAGAAGGCCUUCGGGUUGUAAAGCCUUUUUGUUGGGAAAGAAAAGCAGCAGUUUAAUACCCCGCUGUGCUGACGGUACCCAAAGAAUAAGCACCGGCUAACUUCGUG
rnacentral:rRNA from 1 species